AAUUAGAACAUUUUUAGAGGACAUUUUAUAAGAUAGUGGAGAAAUUCCAAUGUCUUAAAUGAAAUCUUUUUUGUUUUUAAGAUGAAGUUACUUACUCCAGGAGAAGAGAAAACGCAGGGAAGAUCUCAGUCUGCCUCAAACAUUUUAGCAUCAAUAUAUAAAAGAGGGAAUGCCUAGGGUUUAAUCACAGAUAUCACAAUUCCAGAUUGUGUGAACUAAAGCAAAUUGUUUAAUAAGCAUCGGCACCUGUGAAAACACAAAGGAAAGUCCCUUAAACCAGAAUGAAUCUGUCCCAACUGCAAAUAUUGGUAGAAAAAUCCCUACCCCCAAAUUUUACACAACUUGGUUAGAACUCCCUCUGCUGGUGAAUCCAGUAAAAUCCCCUCGACUACGGAUCUAGUUUACAACAUUCACUGAGAA
rnacentral:lncRNA from 1 species